CCCGCAGUAGUUUGGCUGCAUAUGUGGUUUUCCAGGAUUGCAUGUCCUCCACAUGAUGCGUGCUCUUUGGAAAUCCUUUAUUUCAGAAUCUGUCAUAAACCACAAGUGACGGUUUGGGGAAAUGCAAGGGAUUCGACGCCCCAAGUUCCUCCUGUGGAUGGAGUCGUACGAGGAGGGUCUUCUGCAUCCAGCUUGCUGCCCAAGCGUAACGUCCUCGAGGCCCCCCCGCAGUGCGGCCGGGGUCAGAACCUCCUUCGCACGUCUUCUUAUCCGUUGAUCUGUCCCUGGACACUGGAUGCCUCCAGGACUUGGCUGUGGUGAAUCAUACUGAUGUGAACACGGUAGGCCUGGUCUCUAACGAUGGGAAAUAUGAACGUGGAGCCUUCCUGAAUGGGAGCACAGCAGUGUGAAGGGGUGAGUGGUCCCCUGCUCUGGCCGUGUUCAUGUAUCAUCAUCAAGAAGUGUGUUCUGUGCUGCUCAGUGUGGUCCAUGAACAGCCUGCUUCUGGCCUGUAACAAGUCUAAAAUGGAGCGUAUAGAGGCUCCGGUCAUGUUCUCACGGUCAUG